rnacentral:rRNA from 1 species
GGAUAACCUGCCGUAUACAGGGGGAUAACACUUAGAAAUAGGUGCUAAUACCGCAUAAGCGCACGGUUCCGCAUGGAACAGUGUGAAAAACUCCGGUGGUAUACGAUGGAUCCGCGUUUGAUUAGCCAGUUGGCGGGGUAACGGCCCACCAAAGCGACGAUCAGUAGCCGGCCUGAGAGGGUGAACGGCCACAUUGGGACUGAGACACGGCCCAAACUCCUACGGGAGGCAGCAGUGGGGAAUAUUGCACAAUGGGGGAAACCCUGAUGCAGCGACGCCGCGUGAGUGAAGAAGUAUUUCGGUACGUAAAGCUCUAUCAGCAGGGAAGAAAAAAAGUCCUUUGGACUUUGGACGGUACCUGACCAAGAAGCCCCGGCUAACUACGUGCCAGCAGCCGCGGUAAUACGUAGGGGGCAAGCGUUAUCCGGAUUUACUGGGUGUAAAGGGAGCGUAGACGGCAGCGCAAGUCUGGAGUGAAAUGCCGGGGCCCAACCCCGGAACUGCUUUGGAAACUGUGCAGCUGGAGUGCAGGAGAGGUAAGCGGAAUUCCUAGUGUAGCGGUGAAAUGCGUAGAUAUUAGGAGGAACACCAGUGGCGAAGGCGGCUUACUGGACUGUAACUGACGUUGAGGCUCGAAAGCGUGGGGAGCAAACAGGAUUAGAUACCCUGGUAGUCCACGCCGUAAACGAUGAUUACUAGGUGUCGGGGGGCCAAGGCCCUUCGGUGCCGCCGCAAACG